rnacentral:rRNA from 1 species
UACGGGGGGGGCAAGCGUUGUUCGGAAUUACUGGGCGUAAAGGGUUUGUAGGUGGCUUGCUAAGUCAGACGUGAAAUCCCUCAGCUUAACUGGGGAACUGCGUCCGAGACUGGCAGGCUUGAGUGCAGGAGAGGAACGCGGAAUUCCAGGUGUAGCGGUGAAAUGCGUAGAUAUCUGGAGGAACACCGGUGGCGAAGGCGGCGUUCUGGACUGCAACUGACACUGAAAAACGAAAGCCAGGGGAGCAAACGGG